rnacentral:rRNA from 1 species
UCGUGAGACAGUUCGGUCCCUAUCCGCCGUGGGCGUAGGAAAUUUGAGAGGAGCUGUCCUUAGUACGAGAGGACCGGGAUGGACCAACCUCGGGUGCACCAGUUGUUCCGCCAGGAGCACAGCUGGGUAGCUAUGUUGGGAAGGGAUAAACGCUGAAAGCAUCUAAGCGUGAAGCCUACCUCAAGAUUAGAUUUCCCAUAGCGUAAGCUAGUAAGACCCCUGAAAGACUAUCAGGUUGAUAGGUUGGAGGGGUAAGUACAGUAAUGUAUUCAGCUGACCAAUACUAAUAGGUCGAGGGCUUGAUCAAAUU